AAUUUUAUAAUUUGUUUUUAGACGAAAGGUACCUCAAGCUUUGGUAAGCGACGCAAUAAGACACAUACGCUGUGCCGUAGAUGUGGUAGAUCGUCCUACCACAUUCAAAAAUCCAGAUGCGGUCAGUGCGGAUACCCUGCUGCUAAAAUGCGAUCCUUUAAUUGGUCUACUAAGGCCAAAAGGAGGAAGACUACUGGCACCGGACGUUGCAGGUAUCUUAAAGUG